GAUGAACGCUGGCGGCGUGCCUAAUACAUGCAAGUCGAGCGAACAGACGAGGAGCUUGCUCCUCUGACGUUAGCGGCGGACGGGUGAGUAACACGUGGAUAACCUACCUAUAAGACUGGGAAAACUUCGGGAAACCGGAGCUAAUACCGGAUAAUAUAUUGAACCGCAUGGUUCAAUAGUGAAAGACGGUUUUGCUGUCACUUAUAGAUGGAUCCGCGCCGCAUUAGCUAGUUGGUAAGGUAACGGCUUACCAAGGCAACGAUGCGUAGCCGACCUGAGAGGGUGAUCGGCCCCACGGGAACUGAGACACGGUCCAGACUCCUACGGGAGGCAGCAGUAGGGAAUCUUCCGCAAUGGGCGAAAGCCUGACGGAGCAACGCCGCGUGAGUGAUGAAGGUCUUCGGAUCGUAAAACUCUGUUAUUAGGGAAGAACAAAUGUGUAAGUAACUAUGCACGUCUUGACGGUACCUAAUCAGAAAGCCACGGCUAACUACGUG
rnacentral:rRNA from 1 species